CUUUGUGUCUCAGGCAGGGAGAAGUGGCCCUGUGAAGGUUGCUUUUUGAGGUCAGAACUAAAACAGAGAUGAAAGAAACUCGUAAUCCAGUCGGGCGUGUGGGGAGAAGAUGUCUCUGAUGGAGUGAAACCAGGCUGACCAUGGGGAUAAGCUGUAAACCGGUUAUCUGGUGAGGAGCAGUCAGGAAGUGAGAACAUAAAUAAUAUGGGAGUUACAAAAGACAAAGCAAGAGGAGAGACUGAACAUGUCCCCACUCUCAGAGAUGGAGAAAAACCAAGAAUAAAAACAAGACAAAAUAAUAUCACAGGAGAAUCCUGAGAAAUCAAUUUCAUGAAGUUGUAAAAUUCUGUUUUGAGCUCUGAAGCUUCCAACAUGUCAAACAGAAGCCUUUAGCCCCCGAUAACCCUGUGAUUUCAGCCUCUGAGACUGACGUGAGAACAUCCUUCGGGAGGCUGAACCCAUGGAAUGCAUCCAGCCCAGAUGGGGUACCUGGCUGAGUACUAAAGACUUGUGCUGAUCAACUGCCUGGAGCAUUCACUGAGACCCUUAACCUCUCACUUCAGCGGUCUGAGGUACCUAAAUGCUUCAAGUAGGCUUCAAUUAUACUGGAGGCUGGUAACCUGCCUGAGUGGCUAUCAACUUGUAGCACUUACAUCUACUGAGACGAAAUGCUUUGAGAAGUUGGUGAUGAAACAUAACAACUCCUGCCUGAGAAGAACUUGGAUCUGCUCCAAUUUGCCUGUUGACACAAUAGGUCUACAGCAGAGGCUAUUUCAUUGGCUCUUCACUAAACCUUGGAACAUCAGGACAGCAAAGUUGCAUAAAACAGGAUUUUCUUUAUUGACUACAGCUCGGUAUUCAAUGCUAUUAUUCCCUCAAAAUGGAUCAAUUGGCUUCAUAACCUUUGCCUUGAUACCUCCUUGUGCAAAUGGAUCCUCGAUUUCCUCAUUUGCAGGCCCCAGUCAGUUUGAUGUAGCAACAACAUCUCCUCCACAAUCUCCAUCAGCACAGGUGUACUACAAGGCUGUGUGCUUGGCCCCCUGCUCUACUCGCUUUAUACUGAUUACUGAGAGGCUGAGCACAGCCCCAAUGCCAUAUUUAAGUUUGCUCAUGACACCACUGUUGUUGGCCAAAUCAAAAGUGGUAAUGAAUCAGCAUAUAGGAGCAAGAUUGAAAAUCUGGCUGAGCUGUGCCACAACAACAACCUCUCACUCAAUGUCAGCAAAGAACUGAUUAUUGACUUCAGAAGGAGGAAACCAGUGGUCUGUGAGCCAGUCCUCAUCAAGGAUCAGGGGAGGAGGCUCCUUUAAAUUCUGUGUUGUCAUUAUUUCAAAGGAUAUAUCCUGGGCUAAAAACAUAAGCAAAAUUAUGAAGAAAACACAGCAGUGCCUCUACUUCCUUAAAAGUUUGCGGAGAUUUGGCAUUAUAUCUAAAACUUCCGACAAAUUUCUAAAGAUGCGUGGUGGAGAGUAUAAUUAACCAGUUGCAUCAUGGCCUGCUAUACAAACAACAACGAUCUUGGACGGAAAACCCUACAAAAGGUAGUGGAAUUAGCCCAAUCCAUCACAGGUAAAGCCCACCCCAGCUCUGAGCACAUCUGCAUGGAGCACUGUCGCGGGAAAGCAGCGUCCAUCAUCAAGACCCACAGCAUCAGGCUCAUGAACAGUUAUUUUCCCUCAUCCAUCAGGCUCUUGGACCAGUGGGGAUAAUUUCACUCGACUUCACUCACCCCAUCCUGAACUGUUCCCGCAAACCAUGGACUUGCUUUCAAGGACUCUUCAUCUCAUGUUCUGAAUAUUUAUUGUUUAUUUAUUUUUAUUCCUUUGUAUUUGCUCCACUUGGUGUCCUUUGCACACUGGUUGCUUGUCUGUCCUGACGAAGGGUCUCGAUGCGAAACAUUGACUGCUCCUUUCAACGGAUGCUGCCCGACCUGCUGAAUUCAUCCAGCUUGUUUGUACGUCUUGAUCUGAUCACAGCAUCUGCAGUGCACCUUGGUUGCUUGUCUG